ACGGUAAACAAAUAAAUGCGAAAUUAAUCUCCGUUUGUCUAAACUUUUCCAACUUGAAUGAACCCCUGAGGAUGCAAACAAAUAGGGUGUUCUUAAUGCAAUUAGAACACACACAAUACCACUGCUAUGCACCAAGAUAUUGAGCUAAAACAGUAAGCACACAACAACACAAAGACACCGAAAUUUUAGCGUGGAAAACCCAUAAACUAGGGAAAAACCACGGGACCAUUUUGGCCGCUUAAAUCCACUAUCAUCAUCAAAGGAGCAAUACAAAGUCUUCUCUAGAUAAUACUAGAGGCAUACAAAAUCAUCAUAUCCUUGGAAGUAAGCACAUCAAGGUGUAUGGAAUCAAAAUAGAGCCAAGAUAAGAAAUAUAUCACCAGAAAAUUAGCUACUGUUCAGACCAACGAAACCCGACCUCCGGACCUCAAAACCCGAUCUCCACCGUCCAAAAUAUUGGUCCAGAUGCUGUGUAGCUGCUGUCCAAAAAUCACGACGAUCCAACGGUUCAAUCUACGGGAAACGGAACUUUUCUACUGCUGUGUAUUCUCUUCUUUUCUCCUCUCUCUUUUCUCUUUUUUCUGUUAUGUGUUUGUUAUAUACUUCUCCUCUCUUUU
rnacentral:lncRNA from 1 species